rnacentral:lncRNA from 1 species
CCCUCCCCCAGGCGCUCGACGUAGCGGGCGGGGCUUCUUUGGCCGAGGCGUGAGCGGUUGCUUAGGCCAGAAGGUUCUCUGGUGGAGACGCUCCUCCUGCUGCCCCGCCCAGUAGGUUUGUUCGCACCGCUUCUUCCACACCCUAUCUCCCUCCUCCUUCUCCUCGCCCCGCCUUUCCCCUCCCUUAUCCUCAGCCCUUUUAGUUUCUUCCCCGCCUCGCCACCGUCCACGAUCUCGCGAGACUUGGCCCAGAACAUUGCGGAUCGGGUCGGCGCCAUUUUGGGACUGAGACUGGUUGUGGGGGAGGGAAAAGCGGCAAAAGGGGAUUAUUCAAAGUACCGAAAACCUCCUCCCGGGAUCGAGCGCAGCGGCACCCCUAGGCCAGGGGCACCUCUGGUGUGGCAGAAGGUGAUUGAAUUACUCAGAUAUGAAGAUCAUCUUCUAGGUUUUGUGUAAAAGGCCCCGGAUAUUUCAAGUGGCCAUUUUGGAAUUACAAUGUUUUUGGAUAAUUUUACCCCAGAAGUUUAUUAAAAUUGGCAAGAAUCAUCUCUGAAGUGAAUUGAUAGUAGUGAACAGUUCUGCAAGCUACUUAAAAAGAGAUCCAGGCAUUUCUUCAGUAUUUUGGUUCAAACGGAUUAUAUAACUGGUUUAAAGUGUUUUCAGCUGGUGGUAUUUUUGCCUUCCCCCCAACCCCUCCCCUGUUGUUGUUCUUCAGCCAAAACUGUAAGAUAUGUUUGAUUUGUGUACUGAGUAGUUUCGGCAGUUUCAAAUUACUGUUUAAAUAUUGCUGAAGUUUCAUGGCAGUUUAUUUUUACCUUUAUUAAAAGUUUUAGGAAUUUUUGACCUCAGCCCUUUUCAUGUCACAAUGGGACCGCUUUUCUAAAUGAAGACAUUGAAUGAAUACAGAGUUUUUUUGCUUUUAUCUUUUAUUUACGUGGAAAUUUAAGAUGUGGCAGUUUCCCAGCAGCAUGGUAGUAUUGAGAUAGCUGUGUGUCUCUUGUUUAUGCUGAUGUUUAGGAAUGCUCUUCAGAUGUGAAAUUUUCUUUUUGUUUUUUCUUUUUGACUCAUAAAUUGGAUUAUUUCAUCUGGAGUGGAUAAGUACAACAGUGACAAGUACAUGGAAUAAUAAAGAAGACUUUAAAAUCUUAAAAUCCA